CGGACCUCUGGUGCAGCAGUUGUCGACCAACGGCACGGCUGCCUAGCUACGUCCGGCACGGAUAACCGCUGAAAGCAUCUAAGUGGGAAGCCGUCUCCAAGAUGAGUCCUCUUUCCGGUAAGGGCCCAGGCAGAACACCUGGUCGAUAGGCCGCAGGUGCAAGGCGUGCGAGCGCCUCAGCCGAGCGGUACUAAUAGCCCGAGCUCUUCUUCGC
rnacentral:rRNA from 1 species